rnacentral:rRNA from 1 species
GAUGAACGCUGGCGGCGUGCCUAAUACAUGCAAGUCGAGCGAACAGACGAGGAGCUUGCUCCUCUGACGUUAGCGGCGGACGGGUGAGUAACACGUGGAUAACCUACCUAUAAGACUGGGAUAACUUCGGGAAACCGGAGCUAAUACCGGAUAAUAUAUUGAACCGCAUGGUUCAAUAGUGAAAGACGGUUUUGCUGUCACUUAUAGAUGGAUCCGCGCCGCAUUAGCUAGUUGGUAAGGUAACGGCUUACCAAGGCAACGAUGCGUAGCCGACCUGAGAGGGGGAUCCGCCACACUGGAACUGGGACACGGUCCAGGCUCCUACGGGAGGCAGCAGUAGGGAAUCUUCCGCAAAGGGCGAAAGCCUGACGGAGCAACCGCGCGUGGAUGAUGAAGGUCUUCGGAUCGUAAAACUCUGUUAAUAGGGAAGAACAAAUGUGGAAGUAACUAUGCACGUCUUGACGGUACCUAAUCAGAAAGCCACGGCUAACUACGUG